rnacentral:rRNA from 1 species
UGAAGGCUGAAAUUCGCCUUUAUGAAGCCGGAAUUGCUAGUAAUGGCAGGUCAGCAUACUGCCGUGAAUACGUUCCCGGGCCUUGUACACACCGCCCGUCACACCAUGAGAGUUGGGGAUACCCGAAGCCUGUGAGCCAACAGUUAAAUGGGGCAGCAGUCGAAGGUAGAAUCAAUGAUUGGGGUGAAGUCGUAACAAGGUACC